AGAGCAAGACUCCGUCUAAAAAAAUAUAUGUGUGUGUGUGUGUGUGUGUAUACAUAUAUACACACACACAUAUCCUUUUUAGUUUAAAUAGUCUAUUGUAUUAGAAAGAAAAAGUUAUACACGUGAAUCAGCUCUACAGUUUUCAGAAGGUAAAUCAAAUAAUUACUAAAUUGAAGUAUAGUGAGACGAACUAUCAUGUGAAAUUAUAUUUCCCUAUAAAUUUCUUAUUGAAAUCUUGCAUUGAUUUGUGUGUGUGUGUUUGACUAAUGAAGUAAAGUGUGGGGACUACUAAAGAAUUUAGAUUUAAUGCCUAGGUAAUGGGUACUUGUCCAAUUACAGAUCUUCAUGAAGUUUCUAAUGAAAAAAACACUAAAGAGCUCUUCUUCUCAGCUGUAUCAUAAAUGACAAAAAACUCAGCUCUCUAGGCAUAAGUCAGUAAUAAGUGGAAGAGUGACUCUUCUAGUUACUAAUUCAUUUGCGGAGUUUUCCAAAGUUAGCUUGCAUUGUAAGUUUCUUAUAAGGAGGAUCAUUUCAUGAGAGUUAGUUUUUUGCUAUUGUCACAAUUGUGUAAUCAUCCCCAUAGAAGCGUGAUAUGCAUACACUCAACACAUUCAAUUUGUAAUUCUUCUUGCUAGUAAAGCCAAAAAUUCUGUUCCAUACUUAGACAUCCACGGAGGUGAUCCUUAUAAUGCAUUAUGUGUCAAAUUUUAUUCUUUUUCAAAACUCCAAAGAACAUGUGACAUUCUACUAUGUCUUUGAAUCUCUGAUUAUGUAAAUUUGUUUAUGUUAAUCUAUAACAUGUUACUUGGUCUCUUUGAAGCUCUGUUUUCAAGCUGAUGAUAAACAUAGUUAAUUGUUCACUGCAUCCCAAAAUAGUAGGCUUGGAAAGUGAUGCUUUUCUACUUUAAUUUUAAAUCUUGUACACUUUAUAAGAAAGAAGUAAGCCUAUCCCCAUAUUAGGCAAGUCAGAUUAAAUGUUAGUUCCAUUAAUUCAGAGAAAGUAGGCUCAGUUGAUGAUGAUUCAAUGCCAGUUGAAAAAUAAACAGAUAUGCAAAGUCUUGGUUUCUUCCUAUAAUUUCUUACCAUUUUUUUCAGUUUCUUUGUUGUUCUAUGAAAUCUUUAGUUAGGUUAUGAUAGAAGGCCAUGGUACCUCAUUGUUCUUUAACUCCAGUGGUUGGUUGUUUUUAAUUCCAUUAAUGGUAGUUUUUUGGUUUUUUUGUUUGUUUGUUUUUUGUGUUUUAUUUUUUAUUUUUUCGAUAUUUCAAACAUUUUCUGUGAAAGGAGAAAGGAAAGAAGAGCUUUGACUUACAAACUGACUUGAAAGCUAUUCCAGCAAUUGGUUGUCUUUGAAGUAGGCAAUUUACCCUUUUUUUUCCCCCUUCAAAAUCGGUUAUACUACAUAUUUCCUUUUUGAAACCGGAAAGAGUGAACUGUGCAUCACAGUUCUCUUAUCUAUAGCAAAUCUAUAACUCCUGAAUCCUUUCUUCCAGACCCCACCCACCCUGGGGGCUACUUCUCCACCAUUAGUUUAUCUUCAUCAGAGAAUUACAAGAGGCAGAGCAGCACAACCUUGUGCUUUCUACUCUAAAGGUGUUGCUUCCCCAGACAACUGAAACUUGAGUUAAGCCCAUGCCCCAGGAAAAGAAAGGUCAGGUCAGGAAGUUAUUUUGCUUUCUGAGAGGCUACAGAGAUGACAGCAAAAGAGAUGAAGAGCCUUGGCACCUACUCCAGAAAUUGCUCUUGACUGCCAGACUUCGAUCUAAUCUCUAUGUCACAUCAUCGGCAUUCACUGUGUACCUCAUACACAAAAGCAGAAGAGUAGCUGGAUUUCUUUAAAAUUGUGCCCUUCAUUUGUUUCCCUUGCAUGUUCUAUUUCCCCAAUUAACUUUGUGAGCCCUGGGCAAAUUAGUUAACCUCACUGGGCCUCAAAGACCUCAUCUGUAAAAUGAAUGGUUUAGAAUAGAUGAUCUUUAUGAUCCCUUCCAUUGCGAACAUUCUAUGCUGUGAAAUCUCAAGGCUGUAAACUAUAUGAGAGUAGGAGCCAAUUUUUUUUUAUCAUUUUUUUAAUCUCCCCACAGGGCCUAAUGUAACUUUGACUGUACUACCUUGCUUUCACUAUGUGAAGUAGAUUUUGAAGACAGCUCUAAUAUGUACUAAACUCGAUUAGAAAUUAGACAUCCCAUUUUAGUUGAAAGUCAGAUUAUUAGGUGUAGAUAUUAUAUGAACUUGCUUGUUUCAAAAGGAAAAAAACAUUCUGGGAAAUGAAUCAUUGGGAUGGAAUUAUGUAACCCCAUUUAGGAAAACAGUACUUUAAUAAUAGGCUAUGAAAGAGUUAUGGGUUGAAUUGUCACCCAAAAAGGUAUGUUUAAGUCCUAAUCCCCAGUAUUUGUGAAUAGGACCUUGUUUGUGAUUGGAGGCUUUGAAAAUGUAAUCAAGUUAAUAUAUGGUCAUACUGGAUUAGGGUGCACCCUAAAUCCAAUGACUGGUGUCCUUAUAAGUAGGCCAUGUGGAACACAAAGAUACACAGGGAGAAUGCCACGUAACUGUGGAAGCAUAGAUUGGAGUGAUGUGGCUGCCAAGGAAUCCCAAGGAUUGAUGGCUACUGUAAAAAGCUAGGAGAGAGAAGUGCAACAAAUUCUCCAUCGGAACCUUCAAAAGAACCAACCCUACCUGUACUCUAACUUCAGAAUUCUUGUAUCCAGAGCUGCAAGAGAAUACAUUUCGGUUGUUGUAAGUCACCCAGUCUGUCGUAAUUUAUUACGGCAGACCUAGGAAACUAAUACAGAAGAUGUGGACACUGGCCUAGGAAAAGUCCCCAAAGAAUACAUACAGCUCUGGACUGAAACAGUCAUAGCUUGCAACUACUGUGGGACAUCUACUUUCAGUCUAGGAUGUCUUCAUAUUUUAUAAAAUGUAAAUCUAGAUAGUAAUAGAACAUUAAGAUCUUUGGAGCAACUCACCAUUCCUUACAAGAUCAGGACCGAUCUUAUACAAACCCUGAUCACAUUUGUUAUAAUUAUUACUGAUCCCUUGAGAGUCACCUUUGACCCAGCAUAUCAUACCCACAUGCCUAAGAGUAAGCUGCAGAAAGACUGUUUCUUAGAAUGGUCGUCCAUUAUUGACUACCCUCUUCUACCUUAUGCAUGUUUCUUUUGUCCUUUUUUUGUUAACCAUUUAUAAAGUUAGAUGCUAAAGAAUUUUGAGCUCAGAAAUAAUAUUUCCAAAGAAACAAUGUGUAAAUCAAUUUAAGCUGUUUACUUGCCCAUUGGGAAUAACCUCUCUCUUACUUUCUACCCAUGAAAACUUCACCCAGGCUUUCACCAUGCAUAGCUCCGAUCCCAUCUACCUCAUCAAGGCUUGGUCGAAUCCCCCAUUUCGAAGUAAUCUGCUUGCCGCAAUUACAUAACUUAUACUCUCUGUGUAGUUCUGUUGACACUUAGCAAAAAGUACCCUAUAUUAUAGUUUUGUUUUUACAUCUGUGUGUCUUAUUGUUAAAGAAAAAAUUAUUAUGACACUUGUUAAAGAUGGUAAGGCAGACUUCAUUCAGAGGGACUACUACAGUGGAAUUUUGUAGUACGGUACUGAGAUUAAGCUUAACUCCAAACACAAGAAGUACCAAGUGGACAUUUAUAGCCAUGAACCAGGGUGUGGGGCGAUUGAUAGAAAAUUACUAAGAGGAAACAUCAGGCCUAUGGGCAUUCCAGCUAAAGUGACUUGACAGGAUUCUUGCUGAAGUCAGACCAAGAUGAUAAGAUAUCCAGGGUGGGGAAUAAGGAAUUUGAUCAGAUAUCAAGGGUGGGGGAUCUGCACUAAACUAACCCAGUAGUAUUUUUGCUAAAACAGGACUAAAUGAGCCAGGGACAGAGCCUAAGUUUGGGUCUAGUUAAAAAGGGAGCUCUGAAGAAUCUGACUAAAGUUUGGUCAAAGAAGAGAGUCUUUGUCAUUAUCUCCUCAAUGAGAUUCUAGAGAAUAGGAAUUAUAAUUCAUGCUCUUUUGUAUCUCUACUCCCUACUGCCCCCACCCCCAUGAAAAACAGUGUAUGCAUGUCAUAAAGUAGUUUGUAGUUGAGUAUUUUUCAAUGAUGGUUGACUAAUUUUGACAGAGCCGACACCUUAAUUCACCAGUUAAAUUGGCUCUAGGCACAGCCUUCCACAACUCAUCAUUAUUUGACUAAAUGAAGACAAUAUAUUUUAAGACUCUGGCACAGAAUUUCUGGUUAACAGUGGUUGGCAUAAUUUAUUCUCUUGCCUGCUAUUUUCAAGUGAUGUUACUGCUUUGAACUCAUUUUUUAAAGUAGUAUUUAUAAAUAUAACUGGUAAAAGUGUGGCAUCUUUGGCCAAUGAAAAGAAUUGCUGUCAGCUUGAGAAAAGAAAUGUAAAGCACUAAGUAUACUAGAAAUUGCAGACAUCCUCACAAAAGUGAUGGAUUAAUGACCACAUACAGCAUUAUGAAAGCUAGUUAUGGUUUGCUUAAACCAGUCUCUCUCUUUAUGGCAUUCUCAAUCUUUUUAAACAGCUAGGAUAUAAUAACAUUUUAAAAAUUAAAGUAUUUCACAUAACCAAGAACUUGAUAUGAAAUGAGCAACAUUAAGCACAAAACAAUUGAAGCUUCAGAUACUGGAGCAGGCAAGAAUUUUAAACAGCCCAAAUGAAUAAGGAUGCAACAUUGUUGUGCUUCUUCAGAUGCAGGAAUAAUCAGGCUCAAAGGUUAGCAGAAAGAGAUUUUAUAGCAAUAAUGGCUCCCCAUACCAUUUUUCUCUUGUGACUUUGACUCACAAAGGUGAAGCUUUCAUUUGAAGAUUUGAUACAACGCAGCUGCCAACAGCAGGGGGGAGAAUUUGGCCAAAUGGCUGGACUCUCUCAAACAUCUAUGAGGGACAGAGAUUGAGAGGGAGAGACGGGGAGAAAUUGAGAGAGAUAGAAAAGGAAAAGAGGAGGGAACCAAAAGGAAAAAAAAAAAAAA
ensembl:lncRNA